ACCACUCAAGCUGUUGCAUGUCAUUUUUGUUUCCCUGUGCUUUGUUUCCCUUGUGACUAACCCUGUCUGUCUUGAAAGCUUUUGGUGGCUGAACCUCAUUUGAGGGAUCUUGUCCCCCCUUCGGACGCUAGCUUCGUCCACGCCAUAUCCCCUCCACUCGUGAAGGAGUCCCGAACAUGCGCCUGCCUCCCCUGCUGGUGUCUGCGUCGCCCUUCGCCAGAAGAUCUGCGCAAGGUGAGAACCAUCAUGGACAACCUUCUCUAUGAAUUAAGGACUGAGGAUUGGCACGAGACUGGAAGCGCUGGACCGUUUUGAGAAGGCUCUGGACCAACAACCCUGCCUACUGAAUGCUCCUGGUGUGGCAAGGCUGGCUUGGGAGGUGGGCCUUCUCAAAGGAUCCCUGCUAUCGGCUCUGAACUCCCUCAGUGCUCCUCAUGCUGGGCUUAACAUGGGGCCUGCUAGCCCCCAACCUGUCUCUCCCAGCCUGCCAGCGCCGCUGGCCAGCUGGUUCCCCCUGCUACCGCUUCGGCGCCGGCCCUCAGCCCAGCAGACCCGUCCCUGAUUUCCCCUACUACUGUCUCGCUGCUGGCCUUCAGCAUUACUCCCCGGCCUCUGGAGAGGUCUCGCCCUCAUCCCAGUUGCCCCUUAGCCCGACCUCCGGAGAGGUUAUGCCUUCUCCGCCGGCCUCUGCUCAGCCCCCCGUGGACCUUAGCUCAGGAUCUCGACCUCCGGGCUGUCCACCUGAACUCCCCGGUUCCCCUGCUCCGCCCUUGGGGGUCCCUCUGCCCUUGGGACACCCGUCUGAACUCCCUGGUCCCUCAGUUCUGCCCUGCCCACUCGCCUGAUUUUAUUUAUAUUCCCCAGCCCUGUCCCCCUCUCGAAGUCCCUUGUUUUGGACCCUAGACCCCGCCAGCUGGAUCCUAGUGCGACUCCCCCCAACGGACGUCUGCUGAGUCCUCCCGGCCAACUGGAAGGCCCGCCUAGAGGCGGCCAUUGGGGGGGCCCUGUUGUGGUGGCAGCCCAGCUGACUGUUCACUCACCUCCGUCCUCUGUUCCAUCAGCUGGGCUUGCCACCCUGCCCUCUCCCCUCAGACCUCUUCCAUGGAGUCCUCCCGGCUCCUCCCCAUGCCUCGGUCCCCAGUGCCCCGACUCCCUUGUCUCCGUCUCCUCGGUUCCCUGUGCCAGGGUUUCCCCGGCGUCCGCCUCUCCCUCACCUCCAGUCCCUCAACCCCUUUUCCCCUUCAAUAAAACCUGUG